rnacentral:rRNA from 1 species
UGGAUCCAGACUUUGAUUCUGGCUCAGGAUGAACGCUAGCUACAGGCUUAACACAUGCAAGUCGAGGGGCAGCAUGGUCUUAGCUUGCUAAGGCCGAUGGCGACCGGCGCACGGGUGAGUAACACGUAUCCAACCUGCCGUCUACUCUUGGACAGCCUUCUGAAAGGAAGAUUAAUACAAGAUGGCAUCAUGAGUCCACAUGUUCACAUGAUUAAAGGUAUUCCGGUAGACGAUGGGGAUGCGUUCCAUUAGAUAGUAGGCGGGGUAACGGUCCACCUAGUCUUCGAUGGAUAGGGGUUCUGAGAGGAAGGUCCCCCACAUUGGAACUGAGACACGGUCCAAACUCCUACGGGAGGCAGCAGUGAGGAAUAUUGGUCAAUGGGCGAGAGCCUGAACCAGCCAAGUAGCGUGAAGGAUGACUGCCCUAUGGGUUGUAAACUCCUUUUAUAAAGGAAUAAAGUCGGGUAUGCAUACCCGUUUGCAUGUACUUUAUGAAUAAGGAUCGGCUAACUCCGUGCCAGCAGCCGCGGUAAUACGGAGGAUCCGAGCGUUAUCCGGAUUUAUUGGGUUUAAAGGGAGCGUAGAUGGAUGUUUAAGUCAGUUGUGAAAGUUUGCGGCUCAACCGUAAAAUUGCAGUUGAUACUGGAUAUCUUGAGUGCAGUUGAGGCAGGCGGAAUUCGUGGUGUAGCGGUGAAAUGCUUAGAUAUCACGAGGAACUCCGAUUGCGAAGGCAGCCUGCUAAGCUGCAACUGACAUUGAGGCUCGAAAGUGUGGGUAUCAAACAGGAUUAGAUACCCUGGUAGUCCACACGGUAAACGAUGAAUACUCGCUGUUUGCGAUAUACUGCAAGCGGCCAAGCGAAAGCGUUAAGUAUUCCACCUGGGGAGUACGCCGGCAACGGUGCAACUCAAAUGAAUUGACGGA